AUGAAGUUGAUGCAAGUUAAAAACUUACUAUCCCAUUUUGCUGCCCAAACUAUACAUAAAGGAAAUUACAAUAAAUCAAUUGUAAUCCCAAUCAAUGUGACCUCAGAAGAUGAACUUAAUCAUCAUUAUUCUCCAGUGCAAGGAGGGAUCCUUUUUACUUACUUAGGGCUUCCUCUCAAUAUCAACAAGCUGAAGAUUGAAGAUUUCAGCCCUAUGUUGCAAAUGAUAGAAAGAGGAAUAUCCGGAUGCUCCACUUUGGUUUCAUAUGAUGGAAGACUGCAGCUAAUUAAAUCAGUGCUCUCCUUUCUUCCAACAUUCUUCAUGAGUUGCAUUGCUCUCCCAGUUGGUGUAAUUGAUCAGAUCAACAUAUACCAUAGGAACUGUUUUGGGAGGAAAUAUGGAUCUAAAGAGGCUGGAAAAGCAAUGAUCUCUUGGGAGAAAGUCUGCAAACCAAAAUCCCAUGGAGUACUUGGAGUGAUAGACAUCCAAAUGCACAAUGAAGCUCUGCUAACAAAUAACUUGCACUAG
rnacentral:rRNA from 1 species